UCUUAAACUCUACUUUGUCUGGUUUUUACUUUCCCAUACUUGUCAUGUUUAUUCGUUGUUUGUUUGUUUGCUUGUUUUUGUGUGAGUUUAUGCUUGAAACAUUGAGGAUAAUGUUUGAUUUAAAUAUGGGGGGGGGGAGGGGUAACCAAGUUAUUUUGCAUGAAAUUCGUAGGAGUUUAUCACCCAUUACUUCUAGUGUUGUUCCUUGCUGUUUUUAAGUGUUUUAAAGCUGUUUUGGAGUGUUUUAGUGUGUUUUGACAUAAAAAUCCAAAAAUCUCAUAAAAAUUUGAAAAAAAAAAUUGUUUUGAAAAACCCAAAAAGAGUUGUUUUUGUGUGUUUAUUUGUGUCUUAGGGUACCUUCCAACACAAUGAUGAGGAUUUGGUUUUUAAUUACAUGACUGUUAAAGAGAGUUAUAAACAUGGAUGAAAAUUGAUUUACUCUUUGGUGUAUGCUUGGUUGUGGUUAUAAUUUAUGAAU
rnacentral:lncRNA from 1 species